GGCUCUUCUGAUGCUGGCAGCAUGCUUCUAUGGCAGCAUUCAUUGUGUCCAGUUUUUACUGUGGUGUGAUCCGUCGCUCUUGCACCGCGAAGUUAUGUUCGAUUUUGGUAAUGAGCCACGACAGGACUGCGAACCAGUAUCACUUCUACAUGUCUGCGCGCUCCGUGGACAUAAAGCACUGUGUGAGCUGCUGAUAAAAAAUGGUGUCGAUGUUAAUGUCCAAGAUGAGGAUGGUUGGACACCACUCCACUAUGCAGCAUACGGAGGUCAUGUGUCCGUACUAGAAUAUCUACUUAAUGCUGGACACCCAUUGGAAGCGAAAACUUCGGUAAGUCAGGAUA